rnacentral:rRNA from 1 species
GGCCUAACACAUGCAAGUCGAGCGGUAACAGGAAAGUGCUUGCACUUUUGCUGACGAGCGGCGGACGGGUGAGUAAUGUCUGGGGAUCUGCCCGAGGGCGGGGGAUAACCACUGGAAACGGUGGCUAAUACCGCAUAAUGUCGCAAGACCAAAGUGGGGGACCUGAAAGGGCCUCACGCCCUCGGAUGAACCCAGAUGGGAUUAGCUAGUCGGUAGGGUAAUGGCCUACCGAGGCGACGAUCCCUAGCUGGUCUGAGAGGAUGACCAGCCACACUGGGACUGAGACACGGCCCAGACUCCUACGGGAGGCAGCAGUGGGGAAUAUUGCACAAUGGGCGCAAGCCUGAUGCAGCCAUGCCGCGUGUAUGAAGAAGGCCUUCGGGUUGUAAAGUACUUUCAGCGGGGAGGAAGGGUUUAGCCUGAACAGGGUUGAAUUUUGACGUUACCCGCAGAAGAAGCACCGGCUAAC